rnacentral:lncRNA from 1 species
AGCCCCACUAGCCACCGUCAGCCCCCCAGCCGCCGCCACUCUUCUCUUCCUCACCGUCUCUGCUCGUCGCGAAGCCCCACCAGCCAUCGUCACCCCUAGCCGCCGCCACUCUUGUGUUCACCGUCUCUGUGCUUGUCGUAAAGCCCGCCUCUGUGAUCGUUGUCGUUGGCAGUGACAGAGGGUGCCGUCGUUGUCCUCGUUGUCGAUCCUCUUCUCCUCUAUGUCACGCAAACGGUUACUCAAUCCUCUUCAAGCGCAUCUCUCCUCCGUGAAUCUCUGCCCAGAGCCUCGCCGUGAAAUC